rnacentral:rRNA from 1 species
GCAGUAGCCGCGGGAAUACGUAGGGUGCAAGCGUUAAUCGGAAUUACUGGGCGUAAAGCGUGCGCAGGCGGUUAUAUAAGACAGAUGUGAAAUCCCCGGGCUCAACCUGGGAACUGCAUUUGUGACUGUAUAGCUAGAGUACGGCAGAGGGGGAUGGAAUUCCGCGUGUAGCAGUGAAAUGCGUAGAUAUGCGGAGGAACACCGAUGGCGAAGGCAAUCCCCUGGGCCUGUACUGACGCUCAUGCACGAAAGCGUGGGGAGCAAACAGGAUUAGAGACCCCUGUAGUCCCUGUCUCUUAUAC